rnacentral:rRNA from 1 species
UACGGAGGAUGCAAGCGUUAUCCGGAUUCAUUGGGUUUAAAGGGUGCGCAGGUGGGCUUGUAAGUCAGUGGUGAAAUGCUGCCGCUUAACGGUAGAACUGCCAUUGAUACUGCAAGUCUUGAAUAUGGUUGAGGUAGGCGGAAUGUGUUGUGUAGCGGUGAAAUGCAUAGAUAUGACACAGAACGCCGAUUGCGAAGGCAGCUUACUAAGCCAUAAUUGACGCUGAGGCACGAAAGCGUGGGGAGCGAACAGGAUUAGAUACCCUGGUAGUCCACGCCGUAAACGAUGAUCACUCGCUGUUUGCGAUACACAGUAAGCGGCUGAGCGAAAGCAUUAAGUGAUCCACCUGGGGAGUACGAUCGCAAGGUUGAA